rnacentral:rRNA from 1 species
AUUGAACGCUGGCGGCAGGCUUAACACAUGCAAGUCGAGCGGGGUGAUGGUGCUUGCACUAUCACUUAGCGGCGGACGGGUGAGUAAUGCUUAGGAAUCUGCCUAUUAGUGGGGGACAACAUCUCGAAAGGGAUGCUAAUACCGCAUACGUCCUACGGGAGAAAGCAGGGGAUCACUUGUGACCUUGCGCUAAUAGAUGAGCCUAAGUCGGAUUAGCUAGUUGGUGGGGUAAAGGCCUACCAAGGCGACGAUCUGUAGCGGGUCUGAGAGGAUGAUCCGCCCCACUGGGACUGAGACACGGCCCAGACUCCUACGGGAGGCAGCAGUGGGGAAUAUUGGACAAUGGGGGGAACCCUGGUCCAGCCAUGCCGCGUGUGUGAAGAAGGCCUUAUGGUUGUAAAGCACUUUAAGCGAGGAGGAGGCUCUUUUGGUUAAUACCCAAGAUGAGUGGACGUUACUCGCAGAAUAAGCACCGGCUAACUCUGUGCCAGCCGCCGCAGUAA